rnacentral:lncRNA from 1 species
UCCCACAACAACCCUUCAAACUUUCUUGUUUAAAAACCUAUCUAGUAGCAGGGCUAAGCAUCGCUACGCAGUUUUAAAAUAAACAGGUGUCAAGGACAGGAUAACAGAUAUCAAGGUAGUAAAUGCAGCAAGUAGGUUAACCCAAUUCUUAACUACAUAAUGCAGCAUUUUCAAUUUACAAGUGAUAAAAGAUUCAAAACAGUCAAGGAGGG